UGCCACAGACAUAUCACACUGCAGCCCAAGACCGGCUACUCACUGAAGCUGAGCAGGGCCGAGACCAGUCAGAACCUGAAUGGGAGACCACAUGGGAAAACUAGGCUUCUGUCUGAA
rnacentral:rRNA from 1 species